rnacentral:tRNA from 1 species
GCGGGGUUGGUGAAAUUGGUUAUCACUCGAGUUUGUGGUACUCGCGUCACGGGUUCAAAUCCCGUACCUCGCC